GAUUUCUUCUGCUUACUAAUUGCCAGCAGUGAAAAUCUACAGAUGCAAACAUGAGGAAGAAAAGAUUUUCAAACCAAAGUGACUAAACAAAUUCCAUACAUUGUGGGGCGGAAGGGAAAUGAAACCUUUCUUAUUUGUGUGUGUUUAUUAUAAUAAGAAGUAAUCUGCUAAUUUUAUUGACAGUAAUCUGACAUCACAAGAAAUGUUUCUGCAGAUUCCUAUAAUCCCAGUUCUCCUCUCUGGGGCUCCUUAGACAAGGGAUGGGCAACUGAAAAUCAGCAAGGCAGCUAGAACACUUGGGUUCAUGUUAAACAGUAUGUAUUUUCAGGUUUUUUUCCAGCUCCAACUAACUCCAUUGCUUGAGUAGAAUGGCCACCACUGAUGUGGAUCAGGAAGGACAAGUUCUAUGGCUUCAAGCCUGUCUGAUGGAAACCUUAAAGGCACAAGAACAGGCUGUUCCUGAAUGCUGUAAGGCGAGCCGAAGGGGAAGAAGACCGGUGUGGAUGAAGCAGGAACUACUGUUGAUACUCUGGGAAGAAAAGGAGUCUAUUUCCUCCAGAAGAAGGGAUAGGCUACUUGGGGAGAUUACAAAGAAGUUGCUAAGUGAAAGCAAGUGGCACUGGACUGAACAACAGAGAAGUCUUAUAAAUCUGUAAGUCACAAGUAAAUUGCUUAGCACCACUUUGGGCCUAAACUCUUGCAUCUUGACUGCUCUGCUCUUUUUAAUCCAGGAUAAGUUGAAGAAGAAACAAGACUAAGUUACAAACAAGCUUUUUAAGACAGGAUGAGCUUGCAUUCAUUGUAUGAGUUCGUGAGCUUGCAUAAGUGACACUGUGCUGUAGAAUGAUUCCAGACUUAUGAGGGAGCCAUUGAUUAUACAGCUCUUUUGGUUUUCUGAGUACUUUAAUGAUGCUUUGCUUUUUGAAGAAGCUGCAACUUAAAAUAAAGCCCGUUUUCGAUUUAUGCAGUUGUUACAUUUCCACCAUGGGAAUACAGAGCACCACAAAGAUUCUAAAGUUAUCCGAUCCAUCAUCCUUCUCAAAUGAGUUAACCUUGAAAUCUGAUGCCACUUCAGCAGCAAGUAAGAUUGCUCAGGGCCAAAUCCAGUUGAAAUUCCAGUCUCCCAAGGCCACGCCUUUCUUCCUCCACCACCAACCAGACAGUGCAGAGCAUGGAACCCAGAUCCUUUCAGUCCUGCCUCCUCCCUUCUAGCCUGGAACUGAGCAUGCCACUGGGAAGCAGCCUCCGCUACCCAGGAGCCUCUUCCAGCACCCAGGGUCACUCCACCCCUCCUAGACCCCAUUUAAGGGCUGACUCCCAAGGAGGAAGGAUCUCUAUCUGAAGAUUGCUCCUCUUGGAGUCCUUCCACAAGCCCAGGGCACAGGUAAGCUCUUUAUUUCAUUGCUCCUUUGUAAUGUGAUAAUCUCUCUCGACCUGUAUACCUAUUUACCUUACAAUCUGUAUACCUAUUUGCCAUACAAUCCUGUUUCAAGGAGGUCAAGUGUCAGACCACAACACUGGAAGACACGCAGAGAAGGAGAAUACUCAUUUGUACAUUUCAAUCUAAAAUGAAACAUCAAGGAUGACUAAGACAACCACCACAGGGUAACUUUCCAUAGUAUUCAUAUGCCUGUCAGGUUCACAGUUACGCCAUCCCAAGCUAAUGAACUAUACAGUCAAACCUUUCUUCCAGGAAGGGUGAGCCAGGUGCUUAGCCAAGCAGAAGUUAUCCCAUUGGAAUGCAUCUCAUUUGCCAAGUACAGUACUUGCAAUAUAAGCAUAUCAGACACACCCCAAGAAGUCUUCAACUAUCUUAUGUUUGUCUUGUACAUCUACUCACCACAGUCACAUUGGAGGACAAAGACAGCACACAGUCCAACAGCAACCCCUGGUCAGCCAACACCCAUCACAGGAACCACUACUUCUGCCAGCAGCUGUAAGGAAACAAAAAACAGUUGACAGUGCUCAAGAGGGACCUGGGAGGGUUCCAGAUUGUGUCACGUACUAGGCACACCCACCACAAGACCACAUGUCUUCCAUUCCAUCAGCACAGCUGCGUUUGGGGAAGAUUGGGCUAGAUGACUCUUAAGGGGGCAGGGGAGGGUGCACACUCCACAGCCUUCAGUGGAGUCCAACUCCAUUAUUGUAGCUCCUGAUCAAGUACACAAAGGCAGGACUGCCAUCCUUCCUCUCAGGCAUCAACUGCGCCAACACCUGGAUUGGAAGACAACAGUUGGGGGAUGCUAGGCCUCCCAUUCAGGGAGACCAAGGACUGCACCAGAACCCCCAACUCCCACAGAAAAAGACUGCUUUGGUGCACAGGCAGUGCUCCCCACGCUUCUCACUCUGUCAACAUCAUUCCUCCAGGAGAUCCUCUGCUACACACUGUCAGGACUAAAAGCAAAGCACAAUGCCACGCAACUGAGCCUCACCUCAGCCCCCCAGGAGCCAUCAACUCAAUCCCAAGGGAACUGCAUCCCAUCACUGAGAAAGCCACUUGUGGCGAGGAUCAACUGCUGUCUGACACACACCCAGCUGCAGCCCUCACUUGACAACAAAAGACAAGAAAAAAAAUCAGUACUCUGAUGUCAUCCCAAGGGAAACCAAUAUUAAACAGAGGGAGAAACGCCUCUUCAGCUUUAUGGAAUUCGAAGUCACGUCUUCUCUUUCUCGUUUCUUUCUGUUCACUAAACAAUUUUCAAAUUGAUGUACAGCUAAUGCAGAAAAAGAUGUCUUUUUCUUAUCUCUGAAAAGAAUAAUCUGAAACACAGACAAUAUUCAAAUGCUCAGGCUUGACUGUGACCUCAGUAUUCAUAUUAGUGGAGGCUUAUUCACCUUAUUAAAAUUAAUCCCGUG
ensembl:lncRNA